CUUAAAUAUUUAGCCUUUUCAUCAUUUUUCAAUUAUUUUUUGUUGUUUCUUUCUAAAAGCAGUGAUUUUCAGCAAGUUACUUUGAAUAAAACAGAAAUAAAUUUCCAAAAAGAUAAAACACAUAUGUGAAACUGCCUGUAAGUUUAUUUUGGAUAAUUUUGAGUGACACUAUCAAAUAAUAGAUAAUUCAUUGUCAAAAUUAAUUUUACUAAAAUAGUGAUUUAUCAUUAAUGAGUAAAUCUGAUUUAUCCUUCAGAUGUAUAAUCUAUUACCAGUAGGUACUUUAUUUGUUAAUCUUAGAACUCGUACAUGCCAUGACCGAAGCUUAUCUAGAGAUGCUGUGGAUGCCAUUUAUUUGACGUUGUGGCAGGAAAUAUUUUUGGCGGCAUAUCCCAUAACGGUACAUGAAAUCAAGCCCUCACUUUCUCUCACUCGCAUCUACCUCUUGCACCAGGAAGUUCAAUUCAUUGAAAGCAGAGAGAGAAGCUAUGAAGUUAAACUCAUCGAAAGACGCGACGGGAGAAAGAUAGUUAGGGCUUCUUUGAUAACCGGAAGCAAGUUCAUCAACGGCCCUUAUUAGAGUUUGUGCGUGUUGGGAGGGGAAGGAGAGAGAAUCAAGUAUUAAUCGAGAAUCAAGCAAUCGUAGAGAGUACGAGCCACAAGAAUCAAAUGAAACGUAGAGAGAGAGAGUCGACCACAAUGAAAUGAAACGUAAAGAGGACGACGACAAAGUCCGCUAUCCUAUGUGUAGAGAGAGAAUGAACGUCGCUCAUCGUCCACAGUGUAGAGAGAGAGGAAGAUGACACUGCUUGUCCAUGCUUUAGAGAGAGAAAACAUCUCCAAUUCCUGAUGAAGAGAAAGAGAGAGAGAAAGAGAGGGGGUGCCACGAUGCUCAAUCCAUCGACAUGUGGAAACUUGGGGACUAAGAUUUGUUUCUCUCUCUACAACCAACGUGGCCCUGAAGGAAACACUUAUCUAUAACCCAACCGUAGCUUCUCUCUCACUCUUAAACCCUUUCUCACUCCAAAACUCAUGUCCCCUUCUCCUAAAGCUUUUCUUUGUUUCUCACUCGUAAGACCCGUGCUUUCCAACAAUUCUUCGAGCUCUCUCUCACUCUAAAACCUCAAAUACUCUACAACCCAUGCGCUCCAACAAUUAAUUCUUCGAAGACUUGUUUCUCUCUCUAAAACCCAUAUCCCCUAUCCAUUCUCCAACCUUUUUACUUGUCAAUACCCGAGUAGCUCUUUCUCAGUUUUAAAGCCCAAUCUCUUGAUUCUUUGUGUUAAAUAUAGCUUUGCCAGUCUUCUUUAACCAACAGUUUCUCUCUCUAAAACCUCAUAUAUUUUUUGGUUCUAUGGUGGCCAUGGAGGAAGAUUCCUGCAAACCAAACCUGGUUUUGAACUUGGGGUCAGGAUUGUACGAGUUGCAGAGGAGAGAGGGCAGAGGAAAAGAAGAGGAGGUUUUGAGCAGCACAAGGAAGAAGCUGAGGCUCUCCAAGGAACAAACUGGACUUCUCGAACACAGUUUCAUGUCCCAAAGUACCCUUAAUCCGGUGUGUUUACAUCCCCUCUCACUCUCUUCUCUCUCUCUCUCUCUCUC